AGACAAUUGACCCUUAUAUCUUUAUGUAAUGUCCUUCUCUGUCCUUGGUAAUUUGCUUUGCUCUGUACUUUGUCUAAUAUUAAGAUAGGCAUACCAGUGUUCUUUUAAUGUUUGCAUUUCAUCUUUUUCAUCCUUUUAUUUUCAACUUAAAUAAUUACAUUUGAAGUUACUUUAUUGUAUUAUAUUAUCAUAUUAUACAUUUAUAUAUUAUCUAUAAAGAUAUUUUAUAAUAUAUAAUUAUUAUAAUUAGAUGCAUUAUAUAAUCUCUUAUUAUUAUAUAAUAUAUAUUUAUCAAAGUCAACUGGUAUUGAUAGUUUGAGUGAAUUGUAGAAGCUUCAUCUCCUUUACACCCCUUUACCCUUCCCUAAUUAUAAUAUAAUCAUGCUAAAUAUUUUCUCUAUAUUCAUUGAGAACCACGCAAAAGAGCAUUUUAAUUUUUCUUCAACCAUCAAACAAAACUCAAGAGGAGAAGGAAACGUAUUGUGUUUAUCCAUAUUUUUAUCUAUGUGUUCUUUCUGACUUCUUGGUCUUCCAAGAGUCCUUCUUUUUCCAUUUUCUAUUUGUUUCAAGAACUUCCAUUAGCCAUUCUUUUAGGUUAGGUCUGCCAGUAACAAAUUCUCUUAGUUUCCCUUCAUCUGUGAAUGUCUUUAAUUCCCCUUCAAUAAUGUGUCAUUCUGUCUGACUGCUUUCAAGAUCAAAUCUGUCUUUGGUUUUCAGAAGACUGACUAUGAUAUGUCUUUGCAUGAAUUUCUUUGGGCUUGAUCCAUUUGAGUUUUUUUUUUUUUUUUUUUUUUUUUUUUUGAUCCAUUUGCGUUUUGAUGAGUUUUUUCAACCCGUAUAUUUAUGGUUUUUGCCAAAUGCUGGAAAGUUUUAGUCAUUUUUAAAAAAAUACUUUUCAGCCCUCCCUCCAACUCCGCUUCUGAGACUCAGAUGACACAAAUGUUAGAUCUCUUUUCGUCCCACAGGUCCUUAAGGUUCUAUUUAUUUUUUCCAGGCUAUUUUCUCUUUGUUGUUGAGAUUGCAUAGCUUUUAUUGUUCAAGUUCACCAAUUCUUCCCUCUGUCUCCCCCAUUUUGCUGUUGAGCCUAUCCAUUGAGUUUUCUUUCUUUUGGUUGUAUUUUUUGGUUCUAAAUUUUUCAUUUAGUUCUUCUUUAUAUCUUUAUUGCUUUUUUUAGUCUUCCUAUUGCUUUCCUGAAACUUCAUGUUUUUCAUUUUUUAAGAGUAAAAAUUUGUAAAUUUAAAAUUUAAAUUUAAAACUCUUGUCAGGGGAUCCCUGGGUGGCGCAGCGGUUUGGCGCCUGGGAUCGAAUCCCACAUCGGGCUCCCGGUGCAUGGAGCCUGCUUCUCCCUCUGCCUGUGUCUCUGCCUCUCUCUCUUUCCCUCUCUGUGACUAUCAUAAAUAAAUAAAAAUUAAAAAAAAAAAAAAAAAAAAAAAAACUCUUGUCAGGGAUCCCUGGGUGGCGCAGCGGUUUAGCGCCUGCCUUUGGCCCAGGGCGCGAUCCUGGAGACCCGGGAUCGAAUCCCACGUCAGGCUCCCGGUGCAUGGAGCCUGCUUCUCCCUCUGCCUAUGUCUCUGCCUCUCUCUCUCUCUCUCUCUCUCUCUCUCUCUCUCUAUGUGACUAUCAUAAAUA
rnacentral:lncRNA from 1 species